UUUCUAAGGAUGAUCAAGAAUUGGAACUCUUUAUCAAUAAAGAAUAUUCCUUUUUGAUCUCAUUAGACAUACAGGUCUUAAACAAUUUCGUUUAAGCCUUUGCAUAUGACACCACUCUUUAUGAACCCCUUCUUCAAAGAGAGGUUCCUCUUUGAUAAAAAGAGAUAGCCAACUUGAUGAGAAAGUUCUCCUAAGAGCCAAGUGUUCAUAUGUUUAAGUUAUACAAGCAGGCUAGCCGUCUUCGUUUCUCUUUCUUCAGAUGAUGAUCCCAAGCCUUCUGGCGAUCUCUUAAGUAUUAAGGUUCCCUCAUUUUUAAAGGGUGCUUUAAGGAAAAGAGCUCUAAAAAGCUUUUGUGUUAAGAGUAUGCCGGGGAAGGUUUUCCGGUUUAUCCCGGAGGGCUUGUAGCUCAGUUGGUUAGAGCGCGCGCUUGAUAAGCGUGAGGUCGGAGGUUCAAGUCCUCCCAGGCCCACCAAUCACUCUAUCAAUUUCAUAAAGCGCUGGCGGACUUACUUAUAGGCAAGAAGUCUAUAAACCGAUAAAGCCUAUAAAUUUGUAAGAAACUUACAUAACUUUCUGGGAAAGGGCCUUAAGUGCACUUGUAAAAGGACUGAAGAGUGAUGUGAUCACUUAAAAUGAGGUUACUCUUUGAGAGGUCCGUAGAGAAAAGACAUUUGUUUUGGCAAGGUGUUUACAAAGGGCAUUAAGAGAGGAGCUUUACUGUUUGCUUUCAGCAAUUGAGAGUCAAAGCUCUUUAAAGGCAAAGUAUCCCAUUUAAAUUGGUCUUUCCUGUAAGUCUUCUUAUUUUGAGAGUUUGGAAUGGGUUAUGCUAUUUUAGGGGCCGUAGCUCAGCUGGGAGAGCACCUGCUUUGCAAGCAGGGGGUCGUCGGUUCGAUCCCGUCCGGCU
rnacentral:misc_RNA from 1 species